UGGGGAAUUUUGGACAAUGGGCGAAAGCCUGAUCCAGCAAUGCCGCGUGUGUGAAGAAGGCCUUCGGGUUGUAAAGCACUUUUGUCCGGAAAGAAAUCCUUGGCUCUAAUACAGUCGGGGGAUGACGGUACCGGAAGAAUAAGCACCGGCUAACUACGUGCCAGCAGCCGCGGUAAUACGUAGGGUGCAAGCGUUAAUCGGAAUUACUGGGCGUAAAGCGUGCGCAGGCGGUUUGCUAAGACCGAUGUGAAAUCCCCGGGCUCAACCUGGGAACUGCAUUGGUGACUGGGCAGGCUAGAGUAUGGCAGAGGGGGGUAGAAUUCCACGUGUAGCAGUGAAAUGCGUAGAGAUGUGGAGGAAUACAUGGCGAAGGCAGCCCCCUGGGCCAAAUACUGACGCUCAUGCACG
rnacentral:rRNA from 1 species